rnacentral:tRNA from 1 species
GGGGCUGUAGUUCAAGGGAAGAACGCCACCAUGUCAAGGUGGAGCGUGGAGGUUCAAGUCCUUCCGGCCCCU